rnacentral:rRNA from 1 species
CGCGUGUACUGGUCCGGCCGGGCCUUCCCCUCUGUGGAACCCCAUGCCCUUCACUGGGUGUGGCGGGGAAACAGGACUUUUACUGUGAAAAAAUUAGAGUGCUCCAGGCAGGCCUAUGCUCGAAUACAUUAGCAUGGAAUAAUAGAAUAGGACGUGUGGUUCUAUUUUGUUGGUUUCUAGGACCGCCGUAAUGAUUAAUAGGGACAGUCGGGGGCAUCAGUAUUCAAUUGUCAGAGGUGAAAUUCUUGGAUUUAUUGAAGACUAACUACUGCGAAAGCAUUUGCCAAGGAUGUUUUCAUUAAUCAGGAACGAAAGUUAGGGGAUCGAAGACGAUCAGAUACCGUCGUAGUCUUAACCAUAAACUAUGCCGACUAGGGAUCGGACGGUGUUAUAUUUUGACCCGUUCGGCACCUUACGAGAAAUCAAAGUGCUUGGGCUCCAGGGGGAGUAUGGUCGCAAGGCUGAAACUUAAAGAAAUUGACGGAAGGGCACCACCAGGGGUGGAGCCUGCGGCUUAAUUUGACUCAACACGGGGAAACUCACCAGGUCCAGACACAAUGAGGAUUGACAGAUUGAGAGCUCUUUCUUGAUUUUGUGGGUGGUGGUGCAUGGCCGUUCUUAGUUGGUGGAGUGAUUUGUCUGCUUAAUUGCGAUAACGAACGAGACCUUAACCUGCUAAAUAGCCCGUAUUGCUUUGGCAGUACGCUGGCUUCUUAGAGGGACUAUCGG